UUGGGGAAGGUGGAAUUUCAGCUCCUCUGCUUUGCAAAAGCGGUGCAGGCUGCAAAGUGUGUGAAGUUUUCUCAUCAAAUACGGCUGGAAGGGCAGAAACUUCACGAUUGAGUUUGGCAAGUGAAUUUUGUGUACAAGUUCAUUUUCCCACCCAGUGUUGCUUUUGGGAUACCAAGGAGAGGCUGGGGCAAUGCUGGUGAUACUGUCUGCCUUCUGCAGCCCCUGGCUUGUUGUGGGUAGCUCUGGGAGAAAGAAGAAGCCAUUGUUUGUUUGGGGACUGCUUCAGGAAAGGAUCUGUACAUCUAUCUGCAGCUGCUGCAGAUCAGCUAAUAAAAGGAUCCCUCCUUUCAGUGAACUUUCCCUGGACUGCUACAGAAAAGAUUCUGUCCUACUUAAGAACACUAUCUCUGGGCGGUAGGCACGGGUAGCCUUGUCCUUGCAAAUAACUUUCCCAACCCACAAACUCAACCUCAUGAUGUACUUGUGUUGAAACGGGGCUCUGUGUACAGAGCAAUCCUCAGAUAAUGGCUCAGUUCAUAAGGGAAAGCAUCAUGAGCUCCAGGCUUGGACCGCAGUGCCAGGAUAACUCUUCUUUUUGCCCCCUCUCUUUUCUAUGGCUGCUCCAGCAUGUGACUAUGGUGAGCUGACCUCAGCUGGCUGCCAGGUGCCCACCCAGACUCAGAGGGAAACAUAAGAUGCAAAAAAGCUUGUAUGUCAAGAUAGAGAGGGAGAUUGCUUGCCAGUUACUGGCACUGGCAAAUCUAUCUUGACUUGAGGAAAAUUAAUUUAA